rnacentral:misc_RNA from 1 species
AAGACGCCUUUCCACAAAGUUCAUCAGCCUACUAAGACACAAACCCUGGAAAACCAACACACUUUCAACAUCAACAUAUAAAGGUACCAUUUCUAAGACACCCUCUAUGAUCUGUGCUGCUUUCAUCUGUUCAAUGAUAAAAUCAGAAAGAACCUCAGCCAUAAAAUCCAAAACAGCAGUAGCUCCCGCAGAACACGGACCACCC